AUCGGUUCCUCGGGUCCGGAUAAAAUGCCCAAGCCAACUACGGCUUGGACAAGUGAAUAGGCUGUAAAAUCUUUUAAAGCCCAGUGAAGGCCUGGUCCAGUCCACUCAAAUGGUUUCUUUUUUUUUUUUACCUUGAUAAAUAAGUCAUUACACAUUAAGUGUAAAUACGACCGUUACAAAAAAACUUGUUACCGUUGUGAAUAAUUUAAUUUUUUUUCUUUUACAGCAUUAAAAGUUACACUGCCCAAUGUAGCGCUCUCAUUUAAAAUUGGUGCCGUCUACAAUUAAGACUGGUUUAAGCACACCAACCCAGUGAAAAAUACGGAGGUUUAACCUCUUUUUCUCUCUAUCUUCUUCUCUACCUUUGCUCUUCAUCUUUCGUAACAGCAAGAUGAGUUCAAUUAUCACCCAGCUGACUCUCUGGUGCGAACUGCCUCACUGCUUCUUCUCCCUCGAAAACCAAUCUCGUGUGGAAUACUGGACAAUGUUGAUAACUUCAAAAGGAAAUUUUCGGACAGGAGUUCAAAUGCCAUCGAAAAGAAGAUGCAAAAGGGGGCUCCAAGGCCAGAACUGUUCGUUCCUGUAUCGUUGCGGUAAAUAAGGAAGAAAAAGCACAUUAAACGUUCUGUAAUUAAAAGUGUGGUUGGGACAACAUCUGUUUGUUGCUCAGGAACAGUGCAAGUUUAGGAGGAAGCGUCAAGGAACAAAACAAGGUGAAGAUUGUGAUCCAUCCUAUGUUCCGUUUUGACUGAGCCUAUCGAAAGAUGUCGCAUCUCUCUUCGAGAUAUCUCUACUUCCUCGACACAAGUCUUGGCCCAAGAAGAUAUGGGCUUUGAACAAGGUCUUUUUCUUGAAAACUCAUUUUUUUCACAAUUUUUUGGAUUUUAAAGCUAAUUUAAAAUAUUUUCCAAAUAAAUGUAUUAUCAUAUAAAAUAUUUUCAGAUUUAAGAUUAAUUUUUAAUUAUUUCAAUAAAUAAAAAUAUUAACAAUACAAAAUAUUUUAAGCUUACACAUUGUAGAUUAUACUAAAAUUACUGUUAUUGACUAAACAAUGUAUUUUCAUUUUGGAAAAAGUUCGUUAGAGGCGAGUGUUUAACAUGUUUUUUUCGUAUUGUGAAUGAAUUUCAAUAUGUUGAAAACAAACCAAGCUAUUGCACCCGGUCUUUUCCGUUGGCGGUGUGGAUGUUUAACAUGUUUUCUUCGUAUUGUGAAUGAAUUUCAAUAUGUUAAAAAACAAACCUAACUAUUGCAUCUAGUCUUUUUUCCAAAAUGAAAAUGUAUUGUUUAGUUAAUAAUAACACUUUAAGUAAAAUUUAAAAUUUGUGAAAAUAUUUAGAUUACACUAAAACUAUUAUUAUUAACUAAACUUAAAAUAUUAAAUUUAAAAUAGUUUCCCAAUAAAAUAUUUUCAGAUUUAAGAUUAAUUUUUAAUUAUUUCAAUAAAUAAAAAUAUUAACAACACAAAAUAUUUUAAGCUUACACAUUUUAGAUUAUACUAAAACUAUUGUUAUUGACUAAACAAUAUAUUUUCAUUUUGGAAAAAGUUUGUUAGAAGCGAGUGUUUAACAUGUUUUUUCGUAUUGUGAAUGAAUUUCAAUAUGUUGAAAACAGACCAAGCUAUUGCACCCGGUCUUUUCCGUUGGCGGUGUGGAUGUUUAACAUGUUUUCUUCGUAUUGUGAAUGAAUUUCAAUAUGUUAAAAAACAAACUUAACUAUUGCAUCUAGUCUUUUUUCAAAAUAAAAAUAUAUAGUUUAGUUAAUAAUAACACUUUUAGUAAAAUUUAAAAUUUGUGAAAAUAUUUAGAUUACACUAAAACUAUUAUUAUUAACUAAACUUUAAAUAUUAAAUUUAAAAUAUUUUCCCAAUAAAUGUAUUACCAUAUAAAAUAUUUUCAGAUUUAAGAUUAUUUUUUAAUUAUUUAAAUAAAUAAAAAAUUUAACAAUAGAAAAUAUUUUAAGCUUACACAUUUUAGAUUAUACUAAAAUUAUUACUAUUGACUAAACAAUUUAUUUUCAUUUUGGAAAAAGUUCGUUAGAGGCGAGUGUUUAACAUGUUUUUUUCGUAUUGUGAAUGAAUUUCAGUAUGUUGAAAACAAACCAAGCUAUUGCAUCCGGUCUUUUCCGUUGGCGAUGUGGAUGUUUAACAUGUUUUCUUCGUAUUGUGAAUGAAUUUCAAUAUGUUAAAAAACAAACCUAACUAUUGCAUCUAGUCUUUUUCCAAAAUGAAAAUAUAUUGUUUAGUUAAUAAUAACACUUUUAGUAAAAUUUAAAAUUUGUGAAAAUAUUUAGAUUACACUAAAACUAUUAUAAUUAACUAAACUUAAAAUAUUAAAUUUAAAAUAGUUUCCCAAUAAAAUAUUUUCAGAUUUAAGAUUAAUUUUUAAUUAUUUCAAUAAAUAAAAAUAUUAACAAUACAAAAUAUUUUAAGCUUACACAUUUUAGAUUAUACUAAAACUAUUGUUAUUGACUAAACAAUGUAUUUUCAUUUUGGAAAAAGUUCGUUACAAGCGAGUGUUUAACAUGUUUUUUCGUAUUGUGAAUGAAUUUCAAUAUGUUGAAAACAGACCAAGCUAUUGCACCCGGUCUUUUCCGUUGGCGGUGUGGAUGUUUAACAUGUUUUCUUCGUAUUGUGAAUGAAUUUCAAUAUGUUAAAAAACAAACCUAACUAUUGCAUCUAGUCUUUUUUUCAAAAUAAAAAUAUAUAGUUUAGUUAAUAAUAACACUUUUAGUAAAAUUUAAAAUUUGUGAAAAUAUUUAGAUUACAAUAAAACUAUUAUUAUUAACUAAACUUUAAAUAUUAAAUUUAAAAUAUUUUCCCAAUAAAUGUAUUACCAUAUAAAAUAUUUUCAGAUUUAAGAUUAUUUUUUAAUUAUUUAAAUAAAUUAAAAAUUUAACAAUACAAAAUAUUUUAAGCUUACACAUUUUAGAUUAUACUAAAAUUAUUGCUAUUGACUAAACAAUUUAUUUUCAUUUUGGAAAAAGUUCGUUAGAGGCGAGUGUUUAACAUGUUUUUCGUAUUGUGAAUGAAUUUCAGUAUGUUGAAAACAAACCAAGCUAUUGCAUCCGGUCUUUUCCGUUGGCGAUGUGGAUGUUUAACAUGUUUUCUUCGUAUUGUGAAUGAAUUUCAAUAUGUUAAAAAACAAACCUAACUAUUGCAUCUAGUCUUUUUCCAAAAUGAAAAUAUAUUGUUUAGUUAAUAAUAACACUUUUAGUAAAGUUUAAAAUUUGUGAAAAUAUUUAGAUUACACUAAAACUAUUAUUAUUAACUAAACUUAAAAUAUUAAAUUUAAAAUAGUUUCCCAAUAAAAUAUUUUCAGAUUUAAGAUUAAUUUUUAAUUAUUUCAAUAAAUAAAAAUAUUAACAAUACAAAAUAUUUUAAGCUUACACAUUUUAGAUUAUACUAAAACUAUUGUUAUUGACUAAACAAUGUAUUUUCAUUUUGGAAAAAGUUCGUUAGAAGCGAGUGUUUAACAUGUUUUUUCGUAUUGUGAAUGAAUUUCAAUAUGUUGAAAACAGACCAAGCUAUUGCACCCGGUCUUUUCCGUUGGCGGUGUGGAUGUUUAACAUGUUUUCUUCGUAUUGUGAAUGAAUUUCAAUAUGUUAAAAAACAAACCUAACUAUUGCAUCUAGUCUUUUUUCAAAAUAAAAAUAUAUAGUUUAGUUAAUAAUAACACUUUUAGUAAAAUUUAAAAUUUGUGAAAAUAUUUAGAUUACACUAAAACUAUUAUUAUUAACUAAACUUUAAAUAUUAAAUUUAAAAUAUUUUCCCAAUAAAUGUAUUACCAUAUAAAAUAUUUCCAGAUUUAAGAUUAUUUUUUAAUUAUUUAAAUAAAUAAAAAAUUUAACAAUACAAAAUAUUUUAAGCUUACACAUUUUAGAUUAUACUAAAAUUAUUGCUAUUGACUAAACAAUUUAUUUUCAUUUUGGAAAAAGUUCGUUAGAGGCGAGUGUUUAACAUGUUUUUUUCGUAUUGUAAAUGAAUUUCAGUAUGUUGAAAACAAACCAAGCUAUUGCAUCCGGUCUUUUCCGUUGGCGAUGUGGAUGUUUAACAUGUUUUCUUCGUAUUGUGAAUGAAUUUCAAUAUGUUAAAAAACAAACCUAACUAUUGCAUCUAGUCUUUUUCCAAAAUAAAAAUAUAUUGUUUAGUUAAUAAUAACACUUUUAGUAAAAUUUAAAAUUUGUGAAAAUAUUUAGAUUACACUAAAACUAUUAUUAUUAACUAAACUUAAAAUAUUAAAUUUAAAAUAGUUUCCCAAUAAAAUAUUUUCAAAUUUAAGAUUAAUUUUUAAUUAUUUCAAUAAAUAAAAAUAUUAACAAUACAAAAUAUUUUAAGCUUACACAUUUUAGAUUAUACUAAAACUAUUGUUAUUGACUAAACAAUGUAUUUUCAUUUUGGGAAAAGUUCGUUAGAAGCGAGUGUUUAACAUGUUUUUUCGUAUUGUGAAUGAAUUUCAAUAUGUUGAAAACAGACCAAGCUAUUGCACCCGGUCUUUUCCGUUGGCGGUGUGGAUGUUUAACAUGUUUUCUUCGUAUUGUGAAUGAAUUUCAAUAUGUUAAAAAACAAACCUAACUAUUGCAUCUAGUCUUUUUUCAAAAUAAAAAUAUAUAGUUUAGUUAAUAAUAACACUUUUAGUAAAAUUUAAAAUUUGUGAAAAUAUUUAGAU